rnacentral:rRNA from 1 species
GUGGGGAAUCUUCCGCAAUGGACGAAAGUCUGACGGAGCAACGCCGCGUGAGUGAAGAAGGUUUUCGGAUCGUAAAGCUCUUUCGUUAGGGACGAACGUGCUCUUUGUGAAUAAUGAGGAGUAAUGACGGUACCUAAAUAAGAAGCCACGGCUAACUACGUGCCAGCAGCCGCGGUAAUACGUAGGUGGCAAGCGUUGUCCGGAAUUAUUGGGCGGAAAGCGCGCGCAGGCGGGAUAUCAAGUCUGUCUUAAAAGUGCGAGGCUCAACCUCGUGAGGGGACAGAAACUGGUAUUCUUGAGUGUCGGAGAGGAAAGUGGAAUUCCAAGUGUAGCGGUGAAAUGCGUAGAGAUUUGGAAGAACACCAGUGGCGAAGGCGACUUUCUGGACGAUGUCUGACGCUGAGGCGCGAAAGCUAGGGGAGCGAACGGGAUUAGAUACCCUAGUAGUCC